UGGCGCGUGUGGGCGCGUGCUGAAGUUUCUGGGGAAGCUUCCUUCAGACAGUUUGUUCCUUGUAUUAUUUCUAACAUUUUUCGUGUUGGAAGUUUUCUGUUUCAGAGUACGCAGAAGAAUCUGGACAGCGUUGUUCUCCGGGCGUUCGGGACUCGAUCGUGAUUUUUUGGUUGCUGCAGUUUCCAGAGACUUUAGGACGAAUAGUGGUGGUCCUAAAGUGAUAAAUUCGCAACUCUCAUAAUUUACGGACUCAGAUAGUCCGCUCUGGUAAAUUGGCUUAACUUAUUUUUAAAUUUCAGCAUUAGCAGAUCAUCGUGUGGGGUGAUCGUUAGGAUUGGGGGUUGUCAUUGCUUGGCAACCAUUGCUUGUGCUAGAAAAUUUAGGAAUUAUUUGCUCUCUUUGUGAAGUGUUGAGUUUUGAUUGCAAGUUGGUAGUUGAUUUUGUGCUUUACCUGUCAUAUAGUCACUGUGUGAGGCUUGUUGCGUGGAAAUUCGAACUUUUGUUUACAUACCUUCGUGUUGCAUUGAUUUUCCUGUUAGAACACUUGGACUUGACCCGUUCGAACAUUCCCUUGAUCUAAGAUCGUGAAUCUUAC
rnacentral:lncRNA from 1 species